rnacentral:rRNA from 1 species
GACAGAGGCCUCAAGCGUUAGGCGGAAUCACUGGGCUUAAAGCGUGUGUAGGCGGACUUCUAAGUGCCUUGUGAAAUCCCACGGCUCAACCGUGGAACUGCUGGGCAUACUGGGAGUCUUGGGCCAUUCAGGGGCAACUAGAACAAGCGGUGGAGCGGUGAAAUGCGUAGAUAUCGCUUGGAACGCCGAAGGUGAAAACAGGUUGCUGGGGAUGUGCCGACGCUGAGACACGAAAGCCAGGGGAGCAAACGGG